rnacentral:rRNA from 1 species
UACGAAGGGGGCUAGCGUUGCUCGGAAUCACUGGGCGUAAAGCGCACGUAGGCGGAUUCCUAAGUCGGGGGUGAAAUCCUGGAGCUCAACUCCAGAACUGCCUUCGAUACUGGGAAUCUUGAGUCCGGGAGAGGUGAGUGGAACUGCGAGUGUAGAGGUGAAAUUCGUAGAUAUUCGCAAGAACACCAGUGGCGAAGGCGGCUCACUGGCCCGGUACUGACGCUGAGGUGCGAAAGCGUGGGGAGCAAACAGGAUUAGAUCCCCUGGUAGUCCACGCCGUAAACGAUGGAUGCUAGCCGUUGGACAGCUUGCUGUUCAGUGGCGCAGCUAACGCAUUAAGCAUCCCGCCUGGGGAGUACGGUCGCAAGAUUA